rnacentral:rRNA from 1 species
UGAGCGGAAAGGCCUCCUUCGGGAGGUACUCGAGCGGCGAACGGGUAACACGUGAGUAUCUGCCCUUCACUUCGGGAUAUGCUCCGGGAAACCGGGAUUAAUACCGGAUAUGACCAUGGGUCGCAUGAUCGUGUGGUGGAAAGAUUUUUUGGUGGGGGAUGUGCUCGCGGCCUAUCAGCUUGUUGGUGGGGUAAUGGCCUACCAAGGCUUCGACGGGUAGCCGGCCUGAGAGGGUGACCGGUCACACUGGGACUGAGACACGGCCCAGACUCCUACGGGAGGCAGCAGUGGGGAAUAUUGGACAAUGGGCGGAAGCCUGAUCCAGCAACGCCGCGUGAGGGAUGACGGCCUUCGGGUUGUAAACCUCUUUCAGCACCGACGAAGCGAGAGUGACGGUACCUGAGAAGAGAGCCCCGGCUAACUACGUGCCAGCAGCCGCGGUAAUACGUAUGGGGCAAGCGUAGUCCGGAAUAAUAGGGCGUAAAGCGCGCGCAGGCGGAUAUAAUUAAGUCUGGAG